rnacentral:rRNA from 1 species
AACGGAGGGGGCGAGCGUUAUUCAUCCUUAUUGGGCGUAAAGGGUACGUAGGUUAUGAAAAAUAAUUAUUUCUAAAGAUCAGGUUCGUGUCUUGAGACUUGAAUAAUUAUGAAUUAAUUUGAGAUAAAUGCAGGUUGGCAGAAUUACUAAUGUAGGGGUAAAAUGUGACGAUAUUAGUACGAAUACCAAAAGCGCAGGCAGCCUUCUGUUGUAUCUGACACUGAGGUACUAAAGCAUGGGGAUCAAACAGG